rnacentral:rRNA from 1 species
GAUACCCCACUAUACCCAGCCCUAAACCAAGCAUAGGAUCUACACACCCUAUCCGCCAGAGAACUACAAACAACAGUUCAAAACUCAACGGACUUGACGGUGCCCCACACCAGCCUAGAGGAGCCUGUCCCAUAAUCGAUACCCCGCGCUCUACCUAACCCCCUCUCGCACAAUACCGCCUGUAUACCUCCGUCGCCAGUUCACCUAGUGAUAGACACCAAGUGAAUACAAACGCUUAACCACUAACACGUCAGGUCAAGGUGCAGCAAAAGAGGGGGGCCGAGAUUGGCUACAUUUUCCAUACUAGAAAAUCACUGUAAGGACUAUGAAACAUAAACUGAAAGGCGGAUUUAGCAGUAAACACGAACAAGAAACGUCAUGUUGAAAAAUGCCCUGAGGUGCGU